rnacentral:lncRNA from 1 species
CCUUGCUGGGCUGGAAAAUCUGCCUGUGACAUACCGCUCUGAUAGUGUGGGCUUGGAGGUCCAGGAAAUCUACUUGGGAUUCUUGUCCCAGAUCAUUGCAGAGUCAGUUGGAUGAUGGGGAGCCAUUGGAGUGUGUGGAACCCUUGCUGCUGAGCAGGGACCGCUGCUGCCUUAAUCCAUCACAUCUGGUAGCUGAGUCAUGUGUGGGGAGUUACUGUCACCUAAGGAAGUCCGUCAUUUAUAGCUCCAGACAGUUCUGUA